GACGAACGCUGGCGGCGUGCCUAAUACAUGCAAGUAGAACGCUGCAGGCGGAGCUUGCUUCUCUGGAUGAGUUACGAACGGGUGAGUAACGCGUAGGUAACCUGCCUGGUAGCGGGGGAUAACUAUUGGAAACGAUAGCUAAUACCGCAUAAUAUUGACUAUUUCAUGAUAGGCAAUUGAUAGGUGCAACUGCACCACUACCAGAUGGCCAUGAGUUGUAUUAGCUAGUUGGUGGGGUACCGGCUCACCAAGGGGACGAUACAUAGCCGACCUGAGAGGGUAAGCGGCCACGCUGGGAUGGGAGGACGGCCAGGAAUCCUACGAGAGGCAGAAGUAGCGAACUUUCGGCAAUGGACGGAAUGCUGACCGAGCAACGCCGCGUGAGUGAAGAAGGUAGUCGUAUCGUAAAGCUCUGUAAGGAGAGAAGAUCGAGUGUGAGAUUGGAAAGCUCUGACUGUGACAGUAUCUGAACAGAAAGGUACGGCUAACUACGUG
rnacentral:rRNA from 1 species